rnacentral:rRNA from 1 species
GACGAACGCUGGCGGCGUGCCUAAUACAUGCAAGUUGAGCGCUGAAGGUUGGUACUUGUACCAACUGGAUGAGCAGCGAACGGGUGAGUAACGCGUGGGGAAUCUGCCUUUGAGCGGGGGACAACAUUUGGAAACGAAUGCUAAUACCGCAUAAAAACUUUAAACACAAGUUUUAAGUUUGAAAGAUGCAAUUGCAUCACUCAAAGAUGAUCCCGCGUUGUAUUAGCUAGUUGGUGAGGUAAAGGCUCACCAAGGCGAUGAUACAUAGCCGACCUGAGAGGGUGGUCGGCCACAUUGGGAGUGAGACACGGCCCAAACGCCUACGGGAGGCAGCAGUAGUGAAUCUUCGGCAAGGGGCGAAAGUCUGACCGAGCAACGCCGCGUGAGUGAAGAAGGUUUUCGGAUCGUAAAACUCUGUUGGUAGAGAAGAACGUUGGUGAGAGUGGAAAGCUCAUCAAGUGACGGUAACUACCCAGAAAGGGACGGCUAACUACGUG